CGGAAUCGCUAGUAAUCGUUGAUCAGCAGGCAACGGUGAAUACGUUCCCGGGCCUUGUACACACCGCCCGUCACACCAUGGGAGUCGAGUGCUCCAGAAGUGGCUGCGCUAACCCGCAAGGGAGGCAGGUCCCCAAGGAGUGCUUGGUAACUGGGGUGAAGUCGUAACAAGGUAGCCGUAGGGGAACCUGCGGCUGGAUCACCUCCUUU
rnacentral:ncRNA from 1 species